CUGACUUGGAUUCUUGUUCUUCUUAAGUGUGGGGUCCCGAGAGAUUGAUAUCUACAACAGCAUGCCGGCAAAUUCGUUUGUCAGUGUGGCAGCGGAACUAGCUUUAGGAAGCAUGGCCAUUUUAACAGCAGUAAUAUAUCUAGUUGAUGUUGCUCUCCGAAUUGUUGGUAUUACAAAGGGGAACAAAGACUGAGGUGGCUGAAAAUAUAAAAUGUUGUGUAAUAUUCAUUUAUUAAAUGAAAACAAAUAUUUGUUAUAUGUCCCUAUAUCUGUAAAAAAUAUAAUUUGCACAUUAUUACAGUGAAAGCAGUUGAGCAGUGUACACAGACCAACUUCACUUCAUAAAUUAAUUUACAGAUAAAAAAUAUAAUUUGCACAUUAUUACAGUGAAAGCAGUUGAGCAGUGUACACAGACCAAUUUCACUUCAUAAAUUAAUUUACAAGCUACUUCAACUGGUAUAACUACAACUGCAGUAAAUACGGAGUAACACGAUAUCUACUACUACGUUAUACAUUACUUUCUAUCUACUUUUGUAAAACCUUCAAGUAAAACCCAUUAUUCAUUUGAACUGCGCUUCAAAUUAAUAUGUAGCCUGAUCAGCUUAAUAUAUAUAUAUAAUGACGUACAUCUUGAUUGCUUCUAUUUUAACUGUGCUGUUAAUACAUAAAAUGAUAUCUUAAUCAUGUGAUAAAGAUAAUGACCUAGGAAUUAUAAUGACGUCUAUGAACUUUAACUUGUAACUUUAACUUAUGAUAUAAUGGAAACCCUGAGAAAAUGUUCUAAUGGUGUGAAAGCUUGGAAACUCUUCUGCUUAACUAUAACUGGGAAAUAAUCCCAUUUAAAGAUAUAAAAAGGAUGAUGGGUUUCAUGUAUCGCGGGAGCAGUUAGAAGAGAGAUAAUAGCGUUUUUUCAAAUGGGAGUAGCAAUUGAGAGAUGUGAAGCAGGAGUGUUUUUUGCGGAAAUGGUGAAAAGAUUCUCACAACAAAAAUAUGAUAAUAGCCAGUGUCAGGAAUACCUAGACAUGAAAAAGAGAAAUGAAGAGGAUGCCAGAAAAGCUAAUACAGAUAAGAUAAAAUUAUAUUGGAAACAGGAAUACCUGGAUGGGAAACAGGAAAGUGGUAAAGAUACCAGAGAAUAUUAUGCUCCCAAGGAAGAGUUAUAGUUACAAGCAUAUGCUCCAAAAAAAGAAGAGCCUGGUUGAAUUUAAGCUUGAAAUGCUCAAGGGACUGCAGAUGAAGAGUUGAAGGAGACAUACCUGUUUUUUUGCCUAAGGAACCAAAACAGAAAAGAGAGAUUAAGGCAGUACUAGUCCGACAGUUAUCUGAUAGGCAUGAGUUAAAAACUAUGUAUAUCAAUAGUUUUGAGAUGACAGAAAACAACAAGAGAGUGGAUAAAAUGUGGGAAACAAAAAACAGCGUCAUAGAUAGUUCUGAGACAACAGAAAACAGCAAGAGUGUUGUAGAAAUAGAGAAGCAGGAAACAGGAACAAGGAACCAGUUGUACAACAUGAGUGUUGUAGAAA